GGAAGGCGUCAGCGGAGGCGUUAGGGAAAGGGCGCCGGGUGUGGAUGGGUUUUGGUGCUAAAUGGCAGCUCACUUCUUGCGGGGUGUUCACAUCAGUGAGCGGGCCAUUCAGUAUGCUGUGGGUGUUGCUGGUGGCUGCAUUUUUGGUGGAUACCUGCUUCCACAUGGAUUCUUCAUUGAAAAAUACAAGAGAUUUCUUCAGGCAUACAAGGACGGCCUGCCCGUGCCGCUGAGCCCGCAGCUGCGACGCCACGUGGACGCCGUGCUGGACGACGCGGCCGUCGAUGCCGAGGAGCGGCAGCAGCUGCGCUUCUUCACGGCGUUCGGUG
rnacentral:lncRNA from 1 species